rnacentral:rRNA from 1 species
GAUGAACGCUGGCGGCGUGCCUAAUACAUGCAAGUCGAGCGAACAGACGAGGAGCUUGCUCCUCUGACGUUAGCGGCGGACGGGUGAGUAACACGUGGAUAACCUACCUAUAAGACUGGGAUAACUUCGGGAAACCGGAGCUAAUACCGGAUAAUAUAUUGAACCGCAUGGUUCAAUAGUGAAAGACGGUUUUGCUGUCACUUAUAGAUGGAUCCGCGCCGCAUUAGCUAGUUGGUAAGGUAACGGCUUACCAAGGCAACGAUGCGUAGCCGACCUGAGAGGGUGAUCGGCAACACUGGAACUGAGACACGGUCCAGACUCCUACGGGAGGCAGCAGUAGGGAAUCUUCCGAAAGGGGCGAAAGCCUGACGGAGCAACGCCGCGUGAGUGAUGAAGGUCUUCGGAUCGUAAAACUCUGUUAUUAGGGAAGAACAAAUGUGUAAGUAACUAUGCACGUCUUGACGGUACCUAAUCAGAAAGCCACGGCUAACUACG